UUCCGUAUCGUUCAGUGACAGGAUACUUCCAUGCCAUGGAAGAGACGGCGGUUCAAUUCCGCCUGCGGGAU
rnacentral:tRNA from 1 species